AGCGGAAAUGGCUCUGAGAGGCUUUGACGCAUGUGUACCUUUUUAGUGGCGGUAUCUCGGCCGGGGAUUUUCGGGCUCCAGUGGAGGUGGCUAUGCUCACCCCAUCUCCCUUGAGAGGCACAGAAGGUUAGAGAUGUGUGCGAGGAACGGCCAGGUCCAGCGUCUCCUCGUUGCUGCCCCUUGAGCCCGGGACCGGCGCCAAUGUGCGCCCGGGUUCUUGCGUUCUUUUGUCCCGCAGACCUGCCUUGGUGUGGCGUCCCCCUGGGCCGUAGCUUCCGAAGGCUGCAGCCGACCUGGUCGGGGUCCUCUAGCCCGCCUUCCCCUUCCCCCAUUGACAGAUGGAGAAACUGAGGCCCAGGCCAAAAAAUAUCUCACUAGAGGGCUCACCGCCAUUUCCUGGAAAAGUUGGGGCUGGGACUCAACGGACGCUCGUCCAGCUGCAGCGCGGAGCUCCGAAAUAAAGGCGCCCGUGACCGAGUGCUUUGUCCUUACAAGCGUGGUGUUCUUGAAUGCUUCCAGGCGCCUUAUGAGGCCCCCGAUGUACAAUCUGUGCUUAACUAAACCCCACUCUCUUCCAGGGUCAGGUUGGCCAUCCGCAGGCGUAGUUGCUAGGAAGGUUGGACAGAUGCCCGCCUGUUGAUUCAGACGUUCCCAGGAUUUGGAGCAAGAAGAGCAAGGAAGGCCAGGCGCGGUGGCUCACGCCUGUAAUCCCAGCACUUUGGGAGGCCGAGGCGGGCGGAUCACGAGGUCAGGAGUUCGAGACCAGCCUGGCCAGCAUGGUGAAACCCCGUCUCUACUAAAAAUACAAAAGAAAAUUAGCCGGGUGUGGUGGCACAUGCCUGUAGUCCCACCUACUUGGGAGGCUGAGGCAGGAGAAUUGUUUGACCUGGCAGGCGGAGGUUGCAGUGAGCCGAGAUUGCGCCACUGCACUCCAGUCUGGGCGACAGAGCGAGACUCCGUCUCAGAAAAAAAAAGAGCAAGGAGGUGUUGAAAAUGGGUUUCCUGGCUGGGCGCGGUGGCUCACGCUUGUAAUCCCAGCACUUUGGGAAGCUGAGGUGGGCGGAUCACUUGAGGUCAGGAGUUUGAGACCAGCCUGGCCAACAUGGUGAAACACCGUCUCCACUAAAAAUAGAAAAAUUAACUGGGUGUGGUGGAGGGCGCCUGUAAUCCCAGCUAAUCAGGAAGCUGAGACAGGAGGAUCGCUUGAACCCAGGAGGCGGAGGUUGCAGUGAGCCGAGAUUGCUCCAUUGCACUCCAGCCUGGGCGAUAGAGUGAGACUCAGCCUCAAAAAAAAAAAAAAAAAGAAUUCGCCAGGUGUGGUGGUGUGCGCCUAUAAUCCCAGCUACUCAGGAGGCAGAGGCACAAGAAUGGCUUGAAUCACUUGAACCUGGGAGGCAGAGGUUACAGUGAGCCGAGAUGGCACCACUGCACUCCAGCCUGGGCGACAGAGCGAGACUCCGACUUCCCGUCUCAAAAAAAAAAAAAAAAAAAAAAAAAGUGUAAAGAUGUGAUUAUGUGUCAAGGGGUAAGGGUUAAAAAGAAAACAAGAACAAGUUUUCCUCUGCUUAGCCAGCUCACUUCAAGGACAGUUAUAAGAUAACACUGUCUGAAAAGUCGAGGCCAAAGGAAUGGGCUCCAGACAGCCUCCUCCAGAGCAAAGUUGAAAAGAAAAAUUCUUUUACUGUCUCUCCUUUUCUGAACCAUUAAAUAUGACUAUGUUUGCCAAUGGUUGUAUUUAGUAAGGUUUGUAGACUCUGUUUUUCUUUUGACACAGCUGCAAGGCCAACAGCUGUGCAAAGCCACAAGUUAUGCUAAGUCAGCAGUUAUGCUAUAGAUUACAUGACCUGUGACUGUAUCAUUAACUGCUUUUGUUUUGCUUCUGUAAGUUUGCCUAUAAAAACCACACUCAGUCUUUGUUCAAUGGUCAGCUUUUCAGAUACAAAUCCACUGAGCAGGUGUACAUCUAAAUAAAUCCUCCUGUUUCCCGUGUCA
rnacentral:lncRNA from 1 species